rnacentral:tRNA from 1 species
GGGGAUUUAGCUCAGCGGUAGAGCGCUUGCCUAGCGAGCUAGCGCAAGGCCCUGGGUUCGGUCCCCAGCUCCG